rnacentral:rRNA from 1 species
CGGGGUGAGUAACGCGUGGAUAACCUGCCUCACACUGGGGGAUAACAGUUAGAAAUGACUGCUAAUACCGCAUAAGCGCACAGUACCGCAUGGUACGGUGUGAAAAACUCCGGUGGUGUGAGAUGGAUCCGCGUCUGAUUAGCCAGUUGGCGGGGUAACGGCCCACCAAAGCACGAUCAGUAGCCGACCUGAGAGGGUGACCGGCCACAUUGGGACUGAGACACGGCCCAA